GUAGAGAGCCAGUAAUUCAGACCGUGUACAAACGGACUGGGGAGGAGGGGGGGUGUCCUGAGGAAAACUGAGAAGAUAAUUACCAUUGGUAGAAAAAUGUCCUAAAUGUGCACUUCUGGUAAUUAUAUAUGUUUUAGGUAAUACAAUAUUCGACCAUUUGUUGUUGUGAAAAGCUAAUUGUCUUUUAAUACGAUCCCUCAAACGAGCUGUGUGAAAUGGUGCUUCGGUGGCAAUGGAGUAGAAAUAAUUCUCAACAGUAACAAAUGUCAGGAAACCUUUGCCAAGCCGUAAAACAAGGACUCCAUGUUAAAAACAGCAGGGAUAGUUACAGAAAAGAUGCAAUAGGUUCUAAGCCUUGUAGUAAAAAGGAUGUAUUUUGUGGAUUGAUUCUGGCGUUUGCAAUGUUUAAAGCUUCUCUUACACGUGCCCUGUCUUCAGGUGGACUUAGGGAAGAUUUUGUUAGCUUGUGCUGCUGCCAGGCUUUGUAAACCACCGAUCCUGAGCUGCACGCGGGUGUGAACUGCUGGGUUUCUCCUGUGUCCCCUUGCAAGCCUGUUGAAAAAAUAAAAAAAAAUAAUUUAAAAAAAAAAUCAGUGGGAAGGUUUUGUGAGUUCAUUUUUGCUGCGUUUGGAGAAGCUCUUGUGGCUCCGCCUGUCGUGGACGAGCUCGGUGCCUGCAGCCUGGCUGGGGAAGUGAUGCCAGUGCUCGCUGCUGUCGCUGCAGCUUGUGUUUCCCAGGCUGACGUGCACGUCAAAUGUGCUUGGGCCUGACCCCAGCUGCUGGUUUUUACUCAGAACUGCAGGUUACAGGCGUAACCACCCCCGUUGCUUCGCCACACGGCCCGUUAAACCCACGCAGCGGUGCUUCAGGUGGAUGGAUGUGCCCUGCAGCGCAGAAGGGAGCUUUGGAGAGAGCGAGUUUUGCUCAAAGAGAUAAAAGGCUGCCCACGUGGGAAAACCACCUCAGGAAAGGAUUUCCCUUGGUUUGUUUCCCUUUGAGAAGAGGAGGACCCGGGAGCGCUGAUGGUGAAGAAAUACUAAAAGUGGCCCUUGGUUCGGUUCCUGCCUUUCUGCCCCGCUGGCCCGUGGUGCCGCUCCUCAGCCUCUGA
rnacentral:lncRNA from 1 species